rnacentral:rRNA from 1 species
UUCCGGUUGAUCCUGCCGGACCUCACUGCUAUCGGGGUGAGACUAAGCAAUGCAAGUCGCGCGUCUCAAGCUAUGAUGAGACGCGGCGUACGGCUCAGUAACACGUGGCCAACCUACCCUUAGGACGGGAACAACCCCGGGAAACUGGGGCUAAUUCCCGAUAGGCGAGGAGGCCUGGAAUGGUUCUUCACCUAAAGGGCGUCGGAGUCAUGCUUUCCGGCGUCGCCUAAGGAUGGGGCCGCGGCCGAUCAGGUUGUUGGUGGGGUAAUGGCCUACCGAGCCUUUAACCGGUACGGGCCAUGAGAGUGGUAGCCCGGAGAUGGGCACUGAGAUAAGGGCCCAGGCCCUACGGGGCGCAGCAUGCGCGAAAACUCCGCAAUGCGCGAAAGCGUGACGGGGUUAUCCCGAGUGCCGUCCGCUGAGGAUGGCUUUUCUCUGGUGUAAAGCGCCGGAGGAAUAAGAGGAGGGCAAGACUGGUGUCAGCCGCCGCGGUAAUACCAGCUCCUCGAGUGGUGGGGACGAUUAUUGGGCUUAAAGCGUCCGUAGCCGGCUUGGCAAGUCUUUCGUUAAAUCCAGCGGCUUAACCGUUGGGCUGCGGGAGAUACUGUCAGGCUAGGGGGCGGAAGAGGUCGACGGUAUUCUCGGGGUAGGGGUGAAAUCCUAUAAUCCUGAGAGGACCACCAGUGGCGAAGGCGGUCGGCUAGUACGCGCUCGACGGUGAGGGACGAAAGCUGGGGGAGCGAACCGGAUUAGAUACCCGGGUAGUCCCAGCUGUAAACGAUGCGGGCUAGGUGUUGGGGCGGCUACGUGCCGCUUCGGUGCCGCAAGGAAGCCAUUAAGCCCGCCGUCUGGGAAGUACCGCCGCAAGGCUGAUACUUAAAGGAAUUGGCGGGGAGCACUACACGCGUGAAGCUUGCUGGUUCAUUGGAAUCAACGC